CUCCUGCCAGCGGCUGCAGCUGGGAUGGCUUCCCUCGCACGGCGUCUGCCCACAGCCUUGCGCUGAGGCCCAGAGGACUCACAGGAAAAGGAGCUGGCAAAGCGAGCAGCAUUGGUGGUCCUAGAAAAUUACUACAAAGAUUUCACCAUCUAUAACCCAAACCUCCUAACAGCCUCCAAAUUCCGAGCAGCCAAGCACAUGGCCGGGCUGAAAGUCUACAAUGUAGAUGGCCCCAGUAACAAUGCCACUGGCCAGUCCCGGGCCAUGAUUGCUGCAGCUGCUCGGCGCAGGGACUCAAGCCACAACGAGUUGUAUUAUGAAGAAGCCGAACAUGAGCGGCGAGUUAAGAAGCGGAAAGCAAG
rnacentral:sRNA from 1 species